rnacentral:misc_RNA from 1 species
UCGUAACAAGGUUUCCGUAGGUGAACCUGCGGAAGGAUCAUUACCGAGUGAGGGCCCUCUGGGUCCAACCUCCCACCCGUGUUUAUUUUACCUUGUUGCUUCGGCGAGCCUGCCUUUUGGCUGCCGGGGGACGUCUGUCCCCGGGUCCGCGCUCGCCGAAGACACCUUAGAACUCUGUCUGAAGAUUGUAGUCUGAGAUUAAAUAUAAAUUAUUUAAAACUUUCAACAACGGAUCUCUUGGUUCCGGCAUCGAUGAAGAACGCAGCGAAAUGCGAUACGUAAUGUGAAUUGCAGAAUUCAGUGAAUCAUCGAGUCUUUGAACGCACAUUGCGCCCUCUGGUAUUCCGGAGGGCAUGCCUGUCCGAGCGUCAUUGCUGCCCUCAAGCACGGCUUGUGUGUUGGGCUCCGUCCUCCUUCCGGGGGACGGGCCCGAAAGGCAGCGGCGGCACCGCGUCCGGUCCUCAAGCGUAUGGGGCUUUGUCACCCGCUUUGUAGGACUGGCCGGCGCCUGCCGAUCAACCAAACUUUUUUCCAGGUUGACCUCGGAUCAGGUAGGGAUACCCGCUGAACCUAAGCAUAUCA